GACGAACGCUGGCGGCGUGCUUAACACAUGCAAGUCGAACGGAAAGGCCCUGCUUUUGUGGGGUGCUCGAGUGGCGAACGGGUGAGUAACACGUGAGUAACCUGCCCUUGACUUUGGGAUAACUUCAGGAAACUGGGGCUAAUACCGGAUAGGAGCUCCUGCUGCAUGGUGGGGGUUGGAAAGUUUCGGCGGUUGGGGAUGGACUCGCGGCUUAUCAGCUUGUUGGUGGGGUAGUGGCUUACCAAGGCUUUGACGGGUAGCCGGCCUGAGAGGGUGACCGGCCACAUUGGGACUGAGAUACGGCCCAGACUCCUACGGGAGGCAGCAGUGGGGAAUAUUGCACAAUGGGCGGAAGCCUGAUGCAGCAACGCCGCGUGCGGGAUGACGGCCUUCGGGUUGUAAACCUCUUUCGCCUGUGACGAAGCGUGAGUGACGGUAAUGGGUAAAGAAGCACCGGCUAACUACGU
rnacentral:rRNA from 1 species